GACGAACCGUGCGAACGUUGUUCGGAUUCACUGGGCUUAAAGGGCGCGUAGGCGGGCCAUCAAGUCAGGGGUGAAAUCUUUCGGCUCAACCGGAAAAGUGCCUUUGAUACUGGUGGUCUCGAGGGAGGUAGGGGCAUGCGGAACUUCCGGUGGAGCGGUGAAAUGCGUAGAUAUCGAGAGGAACACCUGCGGCGAAGGCGGGUUGCUGGGCUGAUACUGACGCUGAGGCGCGAAAGCCAGGGGAGCGAACGGG
rnacentral:rRNA from 1 species